AGUCGAGCGGUAACAGGAGUAGCUUGCUACUCGCUGACGAGCGGCGGACGGGUGAGUAACGCGUAGGAAUCUGCCUGAUAGUUGGGGAUAGCCCGGGGAAACCCGGAUUAAUACCGAAUACGCUCUACGGAGGAAAGCAGGGGAUCUUCGGACCUUGCGCUAUCAGAUGAGCCUGCGUGAGAUUAGCUAGUUGGUGAGGUAAUGGCUCACCAAGGCGACGAUCUCUAGCUGGUCUGAGAGGAUGAUCAGCCACACUGGGACUGAGACACGGCCCAGACUCCUACGGGAGGCAGCAGUGGGGAAUAUUGCACAAUGGGCGCAAGCCUGAUGCAGCCAUACCGCGUGUGUGAAGAAGGCCUUAGGGUUGUAAAGCACUUUCAGUCGUGAGGAAAGGUGUGUAGCUAAUACCUGCAUGCUGUGACGUUAGCGACAGAAGAAGCACCGGCUAAUUCCGUGCCAGCAGCCGCGGUAAUACGGAAGGUGCGAGCGUUAAUCGGAAUUACUGGGCGUAAAGCGCGCGUAGGUGGUUCAGUCAGUCAGAUGUGAAAGCCCCGGGCUCAACCUGGGAACUGCACCUGAUACUGCUGGACUUGAGUACGGUAGAGGGUAGUGGAAUUUCCUGUGUAGCGGUGAAAUGCGUAGAUAUAGGAAGGAACACCAGUGGCGAA
rnacentral:rRNA from 1 species